GUAUAAUAAAAAUCAAUAUAAAAAAAACAUUGAAUUUCUUUUCUUCGUUUCUUUUUCAUCUUCCUUCUUCUUCUUCUUUAUAUUUUUCUUUAUUUUUUUCUCUUGCUUACUCCUUUGUGUUUUUCUUUCAUUUUUUUCUCUGCCUUACUCCUUCUUCGUCUUUUUCUUUAUUUUUUUCCCUUUUCAUGUGCAUGACCAAAGUACAAUCAAUAUUCAAAUCCAAUCCCACAUUGAAUCAAAACUAAAUCUUAAUUUCUACAAACUAAAAUCCAAAACCCAGAAAGUCAGAAUUUGUAACUUGCAAAUGGAUGUUGGCAGCGACCAUCAGAAUCCUUAAAAUUCGGAGACCAAAACUUGAAUUAUUUGCCUCCUUAAUGUCACUGCAGAACCAUCCAACCCACCACCGAUUUAGUCGUGUCAUUCAUUGUACGAAUAAUCAAUCAACUCAGCAAUUUCAGGCGAAAUCACUGCCAUAGCACUGCUGAGAGCUCUAUCUGAAUUCUUCUUCUUCAGCAGUUAAGAACCUUGUUGAUCUUCCUCUUACCGCAACCAUUCAGCAGUCAAGACCCUUACUUCUUUUGUUCUUUUCCAGUAGAGAAUGACCACGACGUGGCUGCAACAGCCGUGGAGUUGCAGGUCGUCGUGGACAUCAUCUUGCAACAACUCUUUGACACCACAGCUGCCCAUAAUUGUUUAUAGGGUUUGGGAUUGUUGUUUCAAAUUUUUGUUUUGAUCGUUUAAUUGAGCUACUGUUACUAGAAAAUUAAGAAAUAUUGUAAUUUGAUAUUUGGGAUUACUUAAUUUUAGAUUAUGAAUAUUCUUUAAUCUUGAAU
rnacentral:lncRNA from 1 species